rnacentral:lncRNA from 1 species
AUUAAAUGCCUGGGCCUCUAAAUUUUCAGGGCCGGCGGCCGGCCUUGCUUGCCAUUGAUGGACUUACGUAUUCUCUUCUUCCCAUUUUAUAGUCUCCUAGAAGGAAAAAAUUCGAGAAACCCAGUUGUCCUAAUCAUAUUAUCAUGUCUUCGUUCUUUGCUCCCUCACGACUGAUGAUGAGGAAUGGGGCUUCAUUUGCAUUGUGAUUAUAUUCAACAUGCUUAGGUACUUUAGAACAACGUUUGAGAAUGAAGUUGAGCUCGUUUUGGAUUCUGUUUGCAAAAUAUACUAGAAUUUUCAGGCAACUGUUAAUUGCAUUUUCGAGUGUCGAUCCAAAAGAUGGAUGAAAUUGGAAUCUUGCAAAAAUUCUGAGCUUCUCUUGUGUAUUAUUGUUCAGCGAUUUACACUUCUACGGUUACCCUUUCGAUUUUCUAUUCUUGUUUUUAUUGAAUUUUCCAUGUGUGUUCGAUUUUUUUGCUGGUGUUUAACGUUAACAAAUUUUAACUCGAAUUCUUUCGAUUUUCUUUGUUUUUUGUUCAAAAAUCCCAUGUGUGCUCGAUUUUGUCGUUGCGUUUAAGGUUAAGCAAAUUUGUUUGAGAUAUUUUGUUUUUCUUCAUUUUUUGUCUUCUCGUCUAUAUGUUUGUUCUAUUUCUUCUACUUUUAUUUCUAUUUGCUUGAUUACAUUUUUGCGUUUAGGUUUUACCAAUUUCGAGUGACAUUUUUUGUUACAUUCAGUUCUGGCCUCUUAUUUCUUGUGUGUUCUGCUUUGGUUACUUUUAAUUGGGCUCUAUUGUAGCUAAUUUUUUUACAAGGUCAGCAAAAAUUAGAAAUAGGAAACGACGUUGGUUUCUUUUUUGUAGUUUAAUAUGGUCUUUUCCUUGAUCUAUCUUCAUAACUAAAACUAUGUAUAUGAAGGUUUGCAUAUGCCUUCUUGCUAUUUGUAGUGGAAGUUUGCUGUCUUUCUCUGUAUUUUACUGAUCUUAACAUUCAUGGAGGCUUCAAUGUAGGGCUUUUUUGUUUACCAUUAUUUUGAGCUUUGAUGUGUGUCUAGGAUUUUACUUUGCCUAUAUUGUAUAUCAGGACUUUAAUAUCCAUUUGGGCCUGUCGAAUCUUACUUGCAUUCAUUUGUUUGGCUUGAAGUUUCACUAUUGAACAUCACUUAGAACUUUCUCGCUUACAAUUUAAAGUGGAAGCUGGUAAUUUGGUUGAUAGUAUGUGGCUUAACAUAUCUUGAUAGUCUUUGUCAAGCUAUAGAAAUUUGAAACUGGGUUAAGUAGAAAUUAUUGGAUAGUCUGAUAAAUCGAUGAAAUUUUAUUAGAGCAAUUUCAUUUUUCCAUUUAGGGUACUAAUAUGAUAUAAGUUCUUUAUUUAGAACUUCUGUAAGGCCUUUAUACACUUCUCUUUUGUUGUACGAAAUGAUGAUACUAAAAAUAAUGGAGAUUUUUUUGAAGUUCACUUUAUCAUUUAAAAUGUUAUUAUUAUAUUUUGUAUUUUCCUUUAUCGUUUUGCCAAGUAACCCUUCAUAAUAGAAAAAUUUUCAUUCUUCCUCUACCCUUACGCACGUUCAACACUUUUCUCAGUUUACCAUUUAACUAUUUUGCAGUUUAGGUAUUCCAAAGAAGAAGGGAUUCCCGUGGGAGAAUUUCAAAAUCGGAAUUUCACAUAACUUCUGAGGUGAUUGUCUUUCAUUUUAUAUACUCUUUUCGUCAAAUUUGUUACAAAGUUAUGUCUUUUACAGUUAGACUAUUUAUAUUGGAUAUAAACAUAUUUCCUUUGCAUCUCAUCUCUGGAGUGUCUAUUUUUUUUCUUUGUUUCUGUGUUUAUAAUUUUGUGUUUGAGUUAUUCUGAAAUGAAGAAGCCAAAAAAUCAAACACAUAUAAUGUAUUUGUGACCUUAAGUAUGUUGAUUUCAUAUUAUAUUUACUGCUAAUUACUUUGUCAUGUCGGUUCGAUUUGCAUUUCUCUUUGUUCAGAUUUGGUUUAUUUUUUCGACUUAAUAUCAACCCGUCUGAUGAAUUAUUAUCAGUCAUUUGUCAAAAUCAAUUUCCUUCACUCUGUUAAGAAUAAUUAAAUUGAGUAAAAUAAACUAGUUAGCCAAUGAGGUUUAAAAGUUUGUAUCAAGGAAAAUAUUCUCAAAUCUUUUUUGUGAAACUUAUAGAAAUAUACCUCCAUUCGUGUUGUCUACUCCAUUAAGGAAGUAGCUUGGAAUUACAAAAUGGUAAAAAGAAAAAGAAAUUAUGUUUUUAUGAUCAAAGUGCUAUGAUUGCUUUGUAGGUGCGUCUAUUUUAUACUAUUGAAUCUAUAACUUAUGAAAAGAUUUAGGUCAUUACAUGAACAUAUCUAUGGUGGGAUGUUGAAUUCAUCAAAGAUAUUUUCGAGAAGUAUUGAUCUAUAGUUGAUUUAACUAUUCUUGUUUAAAGAUCAUAAGGCAUUUGAGAGCAUAAGGGUUAAGUAAUACAUUUAGGUGCCUACCAAAUUCUAUUGGAUGACUAUUUUUCAUAUGGAGGUUAGAUUGUGCAUAUGAAUAUGCAAUUAUCAUCUUAAUAUUUUAUGGGUCCAUGUUUUACCCUUCAAAAGGAAAAUAUUGUUGUAUUUUUUCUGAGGAAUUGAUGAAUUUUUUAUUUAUUUAUUUUUUUGUUUUAUAUGAUUGAAACAUCUAGGAUCCUGAAACAAAAAAAAAGCCUCGAGUGAAGAUUUACGUUGACAAAGAAAUUGGAAGGAAAAAGGGAGAUGCACUUGUAACAUAUCUGAAGGUAAUGCUUUUUGCUCAAAGUGCUUGGAGUAACAUGUAUCGUUGGAAUGUUUUCAUCUUUGAUUGUUUUGUCUUCAAUGAUGUUAUUGUGGAUUGAGGUCAUUGUUGUUGUGUUAUUAUUGUUGUUAUUAUUAAUAUUAUUGUUAUUUUACUAGGCAUUAGGAACCUUCAGUGGACCUGUCCAUCCAAAUAACGGAUGGAGCUCCUCUAAGGCCUGGUGGCUAGAUCCCAAUGUCAGUUACAAAAGCUAAGUUUGCGCAAAAAGGUAACGUGUGGAAUGCAUUGUUCAUUUUCUGCAUUUGUUUCUGGAUAUUAAUUCCAUUGCCUAUGUUCAUUUCGUUGUACGAAUUGAAUAUUUUAAAAUUUAACUUCUCUUUUGGUGUUAAUUAACCUCCAGGGGAUAAAUUCAUGUAAAACAAGUGGACAAGAAUAAGAAGAAACUUUAGAAGAUUGAAAGGAAAAUGUUACGUUGGGUGAGUCCUUUUCUCACAAAAGAUUAAAUUUUUAUUAUGUAGGGUUUGAUCCCCAAUAUGAAAAUAUAGGUAUGUUGAUUUGAGUUUUAAGUGUUCAUUCUAUUUUUGAUUUCAUUAAUACAAUUUUCUAAAAGGUCAAGUUAAAUUGGAUUCUUUUUUGUUUUAUUUUUUGUCCAUACAUUGUAAAAAAAGGUGAAACAAAACCCUUGGUAAAUUCAAUCGACGAUUAUAGCUGUGUCUUCAUCCUAUUGCGAUUUUGCGGCGGCUUUUUGUAUAUGUUGCUGUGAUUUGCUCAUUUGCAGUAGCCUUUGUACAUCUUGCUGCAAAUUCUGAUGGUUAUAUCUUUAAAUUGUGAAGUAUGUCUAUUUAGAAUUUUCCUCCAGUCUAUAAUUUUUUUUCAAAAAAUUUUAGUACAAAUAAAUUCAGAAGGCUGAGAUAUAAUCCUAAAACCUUCAUUCUUGAGUAUCUUUCUUCCACUAUCUUCAACCUUAUUGCUUUUCUAUUUGAUUUAUUUAGUGGGAAUUUUGAGAGAUCCUUUUUGUUUUCUUUCAACCUUAUUGCUUCGUUUCAGACGCUUCUCAAGUAUUGUCAAGCAGAAAUUUUGACGAUUGGGAUUACUGUUCCUGGGUCAAGUUUCUUGCGAUUUAGGUUCUCGGGUGGUGGAAUUUAAUAUUGUUGGUGAGGUCAUUCUUCUUCUUCUACUAGAAUUUAUAGAUUUCUAUUCUAUGGGUUUCAAAUUAGAAGGUUUUUUUUGUUUGGGUAAAAAUGAGGGUGUUUUGGUGACAGAUUUUUAAGAUUAUUCCUAUUCAUGUUAGCAUUCGUAUAAGUCACCGUUUGUUUCCGGUACAAAGUUUAUGGCCCUGCAGAAAUAAAAGGUAGCGAUAUUGAUUGGAUGGAGUUAACUUUGCAAUAAAAAAAUCCAAGCAAAUAGAAUUUGGCCAAUUUGGAAAACCAGCAUCCAUUUAAUCAUCACUUACGUAAAAAAAGUUCGGCACUUAAUAAAACAUUUUACAAUAAUUUUUGCUCUAAAAGAUGUAUCAAAUAAAUGAUUUUAUAUGUAACAAGCUACCAAGAAAUGUCACUGUAAACAUAAACAUAGAUUAAUUGUAAAGAUUUCAUCAACUUAGUUGAAUGAGCAUGUAUUGAGAAGACAGGAGAAGACAGAAGAAGAAAUCUAGGAAAUAGAUGUCAUGAUCCUUAUGCAAGCAUGCUUGUAUUCAAGCUAGAAAAAGCCAUCGAAUAUAUUAAAAAAAAAACAAAAACUUAGGGCUUGUUUGAGCCCCAUUGUUUUCAAAAAUGCAUUUUGAAAUAGUAUUAUGAUAGAAAGUGUGUGGUUAAAAAAUAAGAAAAAGAUUUAGAUUUUCAUGUAAUAUUAUUAAAAAAUAUGUGGUUGAUAUAGAGUCAAAUAACUAUUGAAGAAUGUAUUUUGAUAGAAAAAUGGGGAUUAAACACAAGCUUACUUUAUUAUUUUAAAAUAAGCAUGCAGGAUACAAAUGCGCAUUAUGUUGAUAGACGGCAUGUUCAAUAGGAUUUUGAACUCAAUCCUAUACCAGGAAACUAAGAAUUUGUAAUGUGCUACAGAUUGCGGAAUUUUAGGAUAAUGAAAGAUGGAUUGAUAAAUUGUUUUCGCUGGCUAUAUGUUGGCUAGAUUUCCUUUUACACGCAUAUAAAGUGUCACCUCCAAAUCCACAUAUGCAGAAUCCUCCCUACUUAAUCUGUGCAUAUACACUUUGUUACUUAGACUUGGCCGGAAGUGUCGGAUAAAAUCAAUUGUUGAACAUGGGUACUCUUUUUCUUCUUUGGGUUUUCAAAAUCAUUCUGUAAAUUAUUCAUGAUCUCUCUUUCUUAGUUUCAAGCUAGCUUGAUGAUGAUGAAUGAAAGUACCCGAUGAUUGGAAGUCGGUAAGAAAUUCCUCUUUCAUACCUUCAAAUAGGCAUGUUUUUAUUUGGAUACAUUGAUAUAUUUUCAUAUAGACAAACACAUAAAGCACAAAGGGAAUAUAAAGAACAAAGAGAAAUUCUACCCACAACUAAAGGAAACUUUUGCACAAACAUCUAGAUACAUGAACGAUAUGGUUCUCUGACAUUUGUGUACGUUGGCAUAAAUAUGAAUGUCAUCAAGGCAAUUACUCAAAUAUUUAUGUGCUAAUUAUCAUUAGUGCAUUUGUUCAUAUUCUGUUAAUAUUUGAUUGCACUGGCAUUGAGGAUUUGUUUCUCAAUUAAGUUAAUCAGAAUGAGGAUAUAUAAUACCUUGUUCUUAAUCAUGAUGCCGCCUAAAUUUUUAACCGGAAAUGGUGAGAGUUAGUGUCUUCAAUAACGCUCUUAAGAGCAUGUACAAUGCAGAGAAGCUAGGGAAGUGUCAGGUCAUGAUUCAACCAUCCUCCAAAGUCAUUAUUAAGUUUCUCUUCAUGAUGCAAAAGCAUGGUAUACAAAACAUUGUGUGGUGUUAAUUUGUUGUCUAUUUACGCAUGCAAUAUUCUAUCUAUACACUUAAUUCUUUAUCAUGUCUGUAGGAUACAUUGGAGAGUUUAAGUACAUCAAUGAUCACUGAUCUGGUAAAAUUGUGGUUGAACAAAUGUAGAGUCAUCAGCCCUGACUUUGACGUUGCUAUCCAGGAAAUUGAGGAAUGGAAUGCAAGGUUGCUUCCCUUCUGGCAGGUAAUAUAUAAAAAAACAUUGUACAUUAACAUUUGGAUGAUGAUCACUUGGUGAAUAUUGAGCUAUCAACCUGGCCAUAUGAUAAUAUAUAUGUUUUGCACAUGCACCUUUUAUUUCAUGGAAUAGUAUUAUCAAGGAGACUCUAUCUCUUAUUCAAACUUUUAUUAAGGUAUCUUCAAUUAGCAUGUCAAUCGGAUAUCUCCAUUCUUAAAUAGCUUCACAUCUUCCUAUCGUAAAAUGUGAUUAUUAUGUUUGGUUGUACCCUCAUUUCAUUCGUCUUUUCCCCAGUAGGUCGAGCAAAUUGUACUUUGUAUAGUAAUUAGACUUCAAAAAAAAUAUUAUCCUGCCUCAUCAGAUGUACAAUGGUAUGCUGCCAAUCCCAAGAGAAUGCUAAUUGCUGAAGUCCACAAAAUUAAAUUUCAUUUUUCUUACUUUCCUUCCUUCAAUAAAUAUCUUCUUUCAAUUGUUUUAAGCUCAUUUUACUUUUCAGUUUUGGAUACAUUUGUUGGCAUCAUGGAGCAUGAAGAGGCUAGGAGAAAGAAGGUUGAGGGGGAAAGUGUGCAAUCCCUGUGCAAACUAGUUUCUGAUGUAAUGUAAGUGAUCCCUACUUGAAUCAACAUAGUACUUAAAAGAAUUGAGGAAGUGUGUUCCAUGCACUGGUUGCUUGGAGCUUAAUCUUGAUUCUUUAAAUGCUAACUCUUCGUUUCUCGUUCCAUGCACUGGUUGCUUGGAGCUUAAUCUUGAUUCUUUAAAUGCUAACUCUUCGUUUCUCGUCUAAGCAUUUUAUCAAAUAGCUUGUGCGGGAUGAAGAAAUUAAUUUGACAAAGUGGCACUUAGAUGAUUGCUUUUAUUACCUUGACAAUUUUUCCAAGAUUACAACUUUUGUUGCAAGUCUUCAAGGUUAUUAAGUUCCAUUUGCCAUGUAAUAAAAACUAGGUUGUGUCGAAAUUAUUUCCUACUUAUAUGAUGUUUCACAAAAAAGUUGAGUAUCGAAUAAUUCUUAACUUUGUAGAAACGAGUACAUAAAAAAUGUUAUUUAAGAAGUCCCCUAAAAAAAAGGUGAAAAAAAAUCUAUUUCUAGAAACACUAAAAUUACCUUCGAAAUGACAAAGCUCGUGCAUGGCACGGGCAAUAAACUAGUAUAAAUAGAAGGGUGCAUGAUAUAGAAGAAGUUACUUAUUUUAAUGGUAGUCACUGUACAUAGUUUUUUUGAUAGCUUACAGCAUUUACAUAUUUCCAGAAUUCAAAAGAUAGCAAAAUAAUUAAACCAACUCUUUCAUCUGAAAACAAUAAGUUUUCUGGUUUCUUAACUAAAGACUCAAUAUUAAGUUACUACAGUACGACGAAUUUCGUGUAUUAAAAUACAAAAAUUGUUACAAAUUGUAUUUUGAUAAAAUACAAGUGAUUUGACCUUCAUGUAAUUGCAAAAUUGUAAAAAUCUUCUGAUAAAUGAUCUGAAUAUUUGAAGACGAGGGGUCACGUGGCUUGAAACCUAGUCUUCGAUAAUUUUUUGAAAAUUUGAUUUUUUGAGACUUGACCUAUUCAGCACUUAGAUUGCUUGGACUUGAACUUGGAUUUGAUUUGAUGUAAAGAAAACUUUGAUCUUCUUGAAUUUGGUGUGAACCUGUUUUGUUCAAAGAAGAUUUUGAUUUUCUUAGGGUUCAAAAGAUUUGGGUUUGAGAGGAUUUAUUCUCUUCCUUCGACGUUGAAAUUUUUUCAGUACUUCGUAAUUGUCUUCUAUGCUUUCACUUCUUCUUGAUUUUCUUCUCCCUCCUCCCCUUAUGGAUAAUUGGUCCUAUUUAUAGGGGAAUUUCCGUGCUAAUUUUGGUAAUACUAAAUUAUAUUUAAUUAAAAUGAAUAAUUGAGUAAUUUAUUAUUUUAUUUAUUUAUUUAAAAUGUGAUAUCGGCUUUUCGGUUUUAUGGACUAUAGUAGGCUUCAAUUUAAUUGGCAAAUGAUUUAAAUUGAUCCAAUCCAUUUUUUAAAAAUUUUUUUAUAUCAACAAAUGUCCCCUCAAGAUUUAUUUAUUUAUUAUGAAAUAAAUAAAUAAAUCAUAAUAAAUAAAUAAAUCUUGAUUUUCGAUUUUUUUUUCGCCUAUUUAUUUGAGUGAAUUAUGAGAUUUGAAAACAGGUUUGUUAAAUCUAGCAAACAGAGGUAAAUAAAUGUUUUUCCUUCCCCUCCCCCCUCCCUCUUGUUUGUAUUUUUUUUAUCCUUCUCUUGGUUUCAUCGUUGACCCUUUAUUAUUUUUUUAAUAUUUCUCGAUUUCUGCAGCCAGCGGAAAAAAAAUGGCGGCGGAAACCAUUGAUUUGGAAUUGGUUUAGGAAUUGGAAUUAUUAUCUCCUUUGUAUAUUUUUAUUUUUAAAUUUUUUUUAAUUAUUAAUUAGCUUUCUUGGUUUCUGUAAAACCAAACAAUUGUGGGCAGAAACCAAAAAACCAUGGUUUCUACCAAAUUUUUUUUCUUCUUUUUCCCCUUUAUUUAUUUUUUCAAUUUCUUUCUUUUUAUUUCUUUUUAGUUCUUUUCUUCUUCAUUUUUUUUUAUAGAAUGUCUUUUUAUUUUGGGUUGAAUUUUGAUUUUUGUUUUAUUUUUUCUUAGUGUGGGUAUUUUAUUGAAGUCGAAACUAACAUUCUUCAUUUUUUUUUUCAAGAACUCAACUUUUGAAGUAAGCCGAGAAUUUUGAGGUUUGAGGGUUUUGUGUGUGUGUGUGGAAAUUAAAUUUUUGUGCUGCAACUACUUUAGAAGUUGGAAAAUAUAUGCUUAUGAACAAACUUAAAAUUACAAACCUUUUCAUAUGAAUUGAGGACCAAGGACUCUCACUUUUCACCAUCUAAUGCACUUUUUGUUUAGGACUAAGAAUCUGUUCCUUCGACUGUCCAAGACAUUUUGUGUUGAGGAACAAAGACUUGUUCGUUCGAUCAUCCAAUGCGCUUUAUGUUGAGGAUCAAGGAUUGGCUCCUUCGAUUGUCCAUGGCGUUGAGGACCAAGAACCAGCUUCUUCGACCAUUCAAGACAUUUUGUGUUGAGUACUAAGGACUUGCUUCUUCAACCGUCCGAGGGACUUUGUGUUGAGGACCGUCCAAGGCACUUUGUAUUUAGGACCAAGGGCUGGCUCCUUCGACUGUCCAAGGCACUUUGUGUUUGGGACAUUUACAUAUUUGGAAGGCUCGUAAUUUUAGAUGAUAAUGAAUUUAAGAGAUUUACUACCCCUUUUUAUUUGCUUUCUUUUUUCUUUUGCAUGAUAGGAAUAAGUUCCAAUGAUAAAGUAUACUCUAACAUACACGAAAUUAUUGAGCUUAAAAAUUAAGGCAAAAGUUAUUUGCGUUUCAAAGAUACCAAUUUGAAGUACCAUGCCUAGACUUGCCAACGAAUGAUCCUUCUCCUGACCUCCUGAGCCAUUGUUGGAGUUGUAUAUGCCUACCAUUAGUGAAUGUCACGAAAGUUUGGAUAUUGGCAAGUGCAACCACUUCCGCAGAGCAUGGAGUGCAUCCCAAAGGCUGAANUUGGUUGUACCCUCAUUUCAUUCGUCUUUUCCCCAAUAGGCCAAGCAAAUUAUACUUUGUGUAAUAAUUAGACUUCAAAAAAUAUUAUCCUGCCUCAUUAGAUGUACAAUGGUAUGUUGCCAAUCCCAAGAGAAUGCUAACUGCUGAAGUCCACAAAAUUAAAUUUCAUUUUUCUUACUUUCCUUCCUUCAAUACAUAUCUUUUUUCAAUUGUUUUAAGCUCAUUUUACUUUUCAGUUUUUGAUACAUUGUGCUGAUUACAUCUGCUGGCAUCAUUGACCAUGAAGAGGCUAGGAGAAAGAAUGUUGGGGGAAAAAAAGUGCGCAAUCCCUGCGCACAUUAGUUUAUGAUGUAAUGUAAGUGAUCCUUACUUGAAUCAACAUAGAACUUAGAAUUGAGGAAGGGUGUUCCAUGCACUGGUUGCUUGGAGCUAAAUCUUGAUUCUUUAAAUACUAACUCUUCGUUUCUUGUCUAAGCAUUUUAUCAAAGAGCUUGUGCAGGAUAAAGAAAUUAAUUUGACAAAGUCACUUUGGCGAUUGCUUUUAUUACCUUGAUGAUUUUUGUUAUCCAAGAUUACAACUUCUGUUGCAAGUCUUCAAGGUUAUUAGGUUCAAUUUGCCAUGUAAUAAAAAUUAGGUCGUUUCGAAAUUAUUUCCUACUUUCAUAUGUUUGAUAAAAAGGUUGAGUAUCGAAUAAUUCUUUAACUUUGCGUAAGCGAGUACAUAAAAAAUGUUAUAUUAUGCACCAAAGAUUUAAGAAGUCACCAAAAAAAAAAAAAAGUGGAAAAAAUUUUAUAUAUUCUAGGAACACUAACAUUACCUUCGAAAUAACAAAGCGCGUGCAUGGCAUGGGCAAUAGAUUAGUAGUACAAUAAAGAGACCUUAACUAAUUACAAUACAAUAUCUUUAUUUUAAAUAGAAUACUACUUUUGGAGAUAAUAUAGCUCACUACACUAGAUAAAGAAAUACAAUAUAAUGAUAUAUACAAUUGGAAAAUAUCAUUUUCUUAUAUAUAUAGAAAGUGAAGAAAAAUAUAAAAAAAUAAAAACCAUUAUCAUCUCACCUACACUUAUUUCAGUUUGGACCGAGGCAUAGAUGAUAGAUAUACAUAUUAUGUGAUUAAUUGUCGCCUCAUAGAUCCCUCGCGAGAUGUUAGCCAUGGUUAACUUCUGUUCAUAGGGUUAAUCUCUAAUCUUUUGUCUUGAAGGGUAGCUUAAAUUACUUAAUGCUAGGUAGCAAAAACCUUAAAAAAAAGGUCUCCCAACCGUUUUGUGCCAGCAUUUAGUGCUAAAUGUGUAAAUUACCCUAUUCUUUAUUCUCUCCAAAUUCUUACAGAUCAACUCUAAUUAACGUGAGCCCAUUUUUCCUUUCUUUUUGUACAUAAAAUGCAGGAGGAUACUAUUAAGUGGUUCCCCGGGUAUAACUGGAAAGAGGGGAAUGGAAUCCAAGAUGAAGUUUAAGAGAGAUUCACUUAUAGAGAUGAAGAAAGGAUAAGAGAACAAAAAUAGAGUUACAAUUUAAUCAGAAUUUUAAAAUAGAUUUGAUCAGAUCGUAGAAGUAUUUCGAUAAUGUUCUAAUUUAGUAGAAGUUCAUUGGACUUGAUAAUAGAUGAUUUAUUCAUUGUAAUAUUCAACCCGUAAUUAUAUGAAUAGUCUUCAAUUAUUCAACCAAUUAAGCUUGUCUCAUAUGAAAAAUCGAGAAACACCACCAACUCAAAAUCAUAUAAAAAGACAGCAUAAUUUGGCCCUAUUAGAGUUAAAGAACUGCACAUAGAGAAUCAGAUAUGGCAUAUGCUUUGUACCUUGAAAAGUCAUCAACCAAGUUGGCCCGGAGAGUCAGUGUCGGCAAUAUCAUCAAAAAGUAAAAAAAAAAAAAAAAAAAAAAGGAAAAGUGCGUCAGAUAAUUAUUUCACUCCAUUGAAUUGCUAGUGAAGAAUAAUUACGUAGACCAAGUUAUACUGUUCAAUGGAAGUUUCAGGAAGGCAUAUAAUAGCAGCAGUUGCAAUAUCAGGAUGCAGCUUAAUCUUGGUGUCAUAUCUACGGCAGAAAAUUCUCCGGUUCUGUCCCAACCACUCUCAUGGAAAGUCGACCAUGAUUGCAGACAGAGAGAGACAUGUUUCCUCUACCAAAAAUGAAUGCUCAGCAACAGGUAUCUCCAAACCAAGACAAUAAUAUUAGAUGGGAAAUGCUACUUGUAUACGCUGGUUUACCACCUCGUUUACAGAAUACUGAGUUGACAAGAUUUUUCGGACAAAAAGACGAGGUUUAAAUAGCAUGUAAAAUCUUGCUACCUCAGCACCUGUAACUACUUCUGAUAAAAAAAAAUAUGUAAAAGUAGCAUUUUCCAUAUUAGAUUGAGCCUUUCAAUUUUCCUUUUGUGUGUAUAUGUCUUGGAUGAUCAUGUAUGGGGAGUGUAGUGAUUAGGCCUAGACGACUAUUUAUUGUUACACGUCACAAAGAUUAGCAUUGCAUAAUUUUGCAAACAUAAAUCACAUACGACGAGAUUCAAAUAUUCGCUGUAAUUCAUUAAAAUCGAAGCUAUGAAAUUGAUUUCACCAUAAUUUUUGGUUCCUUGCAUUGACGUUCAAACUUUACAGGUAAAGUUCGAAAACAAGGUUGGUUCUCGGCUAUAAAAGACGCACCAAGUGACGAUAAAUUACUGAGGAAAAGAAGUCACAUUUAGAGACACAGGAUACAAUCUGGAGUCGAGAAAAGAAAGGAAGGAUGAAUCUGCCUGAAAAUUGGAACAAUUUGUAUAAUGGGAUUAAUAGUUACCGAUCUCAGCAGGCUAUUUUAAUGAUGUAUGCUUAAGCGAAAGUAGUAAGUCCUUUGGUUUUAUAUAUAAAAGAACCCUACGCGCUCAAAUAGUCCUAUUACAUAUCUAAACUUCGUCUUAGAGAAAAUCCUAUGAUUAUAUUUCAUCAGAUGAUCAAAUACGGACAUGCUCGUCGCGCAGUGAUGGAUUGAAUGGAUGAUGAAAAGAAUUUAUAUAAAUGACUCUAAAUUCAUUAAGAAAUAAGGAUUUGUUUUGAUUUUCCGAGGUUCAAUCAGUUGAAUAUGUAUGGAAAUUGUAAGAAG